rnacentral:rRNA from 1 species
AGAAGGUAAUAAUCCUGUAGUCGAAAACGAAUUCUCUCUUGAGUGGAUCCUGAGUACGACGGAGCACGUGAAAUUCCGUCGGAAUCUGGGAGGACCAUCUCCUAAGGCUAAAUACUCUCUAGUGACCGAUAGUGAACCAGUACCGUGAGGGAAAGGUGAAAAGUACCCCGGAAGGGGAGUGAAAGAGAACUUGAAACCGUGUGCUUACAAGUAGUCAGAGCCCGUUAAUGGGUGAUGGCGUGCCUUUUGUAGAAUGAACCGGCGAGUUACGAUCUGAUGCAAGGUUAAGCAGAAAAUGUGGAGCCGUAGCGAAAGCGAGUCUGAAUAGGGCGAAUGAGUAUUUGGUCGUAGACCCGAAACCAGGUGAUCUACCCUUGGUCAGGUUGAAGUUCAGGUAACACUGAAUGGAGGACCGAACCGACUUACGUUGAAAAGUGAGCGGAUGAACUGAGGGUAGCGGAGAAAUUCCAAUCGAACUUGGAGAUAGCUGGUUCUCUCCGAAAUAGCUUUAGGGCUAGCCUCAAGUGAUGAUUAUUGGAGGUAGAGCACUGUUUGGACGAGGGGCCCCUCUCGGGUUACCGAAUUCAGACAAACUCCGAAUGCCAAAUAAUUUAACUUGGGAGUCAGAAUGUGGGUGAUAAGGUCCAUAUUCGAAAGGGAAACAGCCCAGACCACCAGCUAAGGUCCCAAAAUAUAUGUUAAGUGGAAAAGGAUGUGGCGUUGCCCAGACAACUAGGAUGUUGGCUUAGAAGCAGCCAUCAUUUAAAGAGUGCGUAAUAGCUCACUAGUCGAGUGACACUGCGCCGAAAAUGUACCGGGGCUAAACAUAUUACCGAAGCUGUGGAUUGUCCUUUGGACAAUGGUAGGAGAGCGUUCUAAGGGCGUUGAAGCAUGAUCGCAAGGACAUGUGGAGCGCUUAGAAGUGAGAAUGCCGGUGUGAGUAGCGAAAGACGGGUGAGAAUCCCGUCCACCGAUUGACUAAGGUUUCCAGAGGAAGGCUCGUCCGCUCUGGGUUAGUCGGGUCCUAAGCUGAGGCCGACAGGCGUAGGCGAUGGAUAACAGGUUGAUAUUCCUGUACCACCAUUAUUCGUUUUAAGCGAUGGGGGGACGCAGUAGGAUAGGCGAAGCGUGCUGUUGGAGUGCACGUCCAAGCAGU